AGCCAGACUCCUACGGGAGGCAGCAGUGGGGAAUAUUGCACAAUGGGGGAAACCCUGAUGCAGCGACGCCGCGUGAGCGAUGAAGUAUUUCGGUAUGUAAAGCUCUAUCAGCAGGGAAGAAGAUGACGGUACCUGACUAAGAAGCCCCGGCUAACUACGUGCCAGCAGCCGCGGUAAUACGUAGGGGGCAAGCGUUAUCCGGAUUUACUGGGUGUAAAGGGAGCGUAGACGGCGAUGCAAGCCAGAUGUGAAAGCCCGGGGCUCAACCCCGGGACUGCAUUUGGAACUGUGUGGCUGGAGUGUCGGAGAGGCAGGCGGAAUUCCUAGUGUAGCGGUGAAAUGCGUAGAUAUUAGGAGGAACACCAGUGGCGAAGGCGGCCUGCUGGACGAUGACUGACGUUGAGGCUCGAAAGCGUGGGGAGCAAACAGGAUUAGAUACCCCCGUACC
rnacentral:rRNA from 1 species